GAGGCGGGAAUAUGACAAUAAGACGAGAAGACCCUAUGGAGCUUUAAUUAACCGACCCAAAGAGAUCUUGAUAAUCAACCGACAGGGAUAACAUACCUCUACCAUGGGUCGACAAUUUAGGUUGGGGUGACCUCGGAGAAUAAAACAACCUCCGAGUGAUUUAAAUCUAGACUAACYAGUCGAAAGUAYUACAUCACUUAUUGAUCCAAAAACUUGAUCAACGGAACAAGUUACCCUAGGGAUAACAGCGCAAU
rnacentral:rRNA from 1 species